GUCCAGACUCCUACGGGAGGCAGCAGUGGGGAAUAUUGCACAAUGGGGGAAACCCUGAUGCAGCGACGCCGCGUGAGCGAUGAAGUAUUUCGGUAUGUAAAGCUCUAUCAGCAGGGAAGAAGAUGACGGUACCUGACUAAGAAGCCCCGGCUAACUACGUGCCAGCAGCCGCGGUAAUACGUAGGGGGCAAGCGUUAUCCGGAUUUACUGGGUGUAAAGGGAGCGUAGACGGCGAUGCAAGCCAGAUGUGAAAGCCCGGGGCUCAACCCCGGGACUGCAUUUGGAACUGUGUGGCUGGAGUGUCGGAGAGGCAGGCGGAAUUCCUAGUGUAGCGGUGAAAUGCGUAGAUAUUAGGAGGAACACCAGUGGCGAAGGCGGCCUGCUGGACGAUGACUGACGUUGAGGCUCGAAAGCGUGGGGAGCAAACAGGAUUAGAUACCCUGGUAA
rnacentral:rRNA from 1 species